rnacentral:tRNA from 1 species
GCCCCCGUAGCUCAGCAGGAUAGAGCACAGGAUUCCUAAUCCUGGUUAGCCCAAGUUCGAAUCUUGGCGGGGGCA